UACAUUUUGCCUUAGCACUGGUUUAUUAACUGUUGCUUGUAUUAACUUUUCCUUUUAGGUAUUUUCUUUUAGGUAGACACUUCUUCAUUACCACAAAUAUGGGACAAGGUUGUGACGCAGGAGAGUCUAAUGAGGAAUGUGAUUUAUCUGAACAGGUUUCUGCUUUGCACUUACAAGAAACUUUUCCUUCCUCUAGAACACAGCAGCAGCCUGAAAAGGAUUCUCAGGAUGCUGACAAUGCACGUUGGGUACCUGAACGCCUC